GUUACACUGAACUACAUCUCAAUUUCCUCAAAGCAGUGCUAGAGGGUGAUAGUUCACAGGCAGCACAUUUCAAAAACAGAAUGUGAUCUUUACUUCUCCUUCCCCCUCCAGCCACGCUGAAAUAGCAGACCUGAAAGCAACCUCUAAGGUUUCAUGAUUUGACUGCUCCAAGAGGGGAAAAAUAAAUUCAAGACAGCAGAAUACAAGUAAACAGAAGCUGACUGGGGAAUCUCGAACUCAGGCAACCUCAAACUCAUGGGAAGUAUUCUCCUGCUUCAAAAUGGCUUCAUUUUUCCAACUCUCCCCAGACUAUCAAUAUGUUGUAAACUCUUACCACUGGACAAUGCAAAAAGAAGUCAAGAUGUCUGCAGGGAGUCAACAGACUGAAUGAAUCAAUAGGGCACAGCAGGAAGCACGGCACCCAGCUGUAUUACAACACCCAUUCCCGGAAAGGAGGUGGGGAACAACACUCUGCUUUUCUAUUUUCCCUCCCUGUUAUUAUCUAUCCACUGCUGAAGACAGAAUAUCUGGCUAGAGGC